ACGCUGGCGGCGUGCCUAAUACAUGCAAGUAGAACGCUGAAGAGAGGAGCUUGCUCUUCUUGGAUGAGUUGCGAACGGGUGAGUAACGCGUAGGUAACCUGCCUUGUAGCGGGGGAUAACUAUUGGAAACGAUAGCUAAUACCGCAUAACAAUGGGUGACACAUGUCAUUCAUUUGAAAGGGGCAAUUGCUCCACUACAAGAUGGACCUGCGUUGUAUUAGCUAGUAGGUGAGGUAACGGCUCACCUAGGCGACGAUACAUAGCCGACCUGAGAGGGUGAUCGGCCACACUGGGACUGAGACACGGCCCAGACUCCUACGGGAGGCAGCAGUAGGGAAUUUUCGGCAAUGGGGGCAACCCUGACCGAGCAACGCCGCGUGAGUGAAGAAGGUUUUCGGAUCGUAAAGCUCUGUUGUAAGUCAAGAACGAGUGUGAGAGUGGAAAGUUCACACUGUGACGGUAGCUUACCAGAAAGGGACGGCUAACUACGUGCCAGCAGCCGCGGUAAUACGUAGGUCCCGAGCGUUGUCCGGAUUUAUUGGGCGUAAAGCGAGCGCAGGCGGUUUGAUAAGUCUGAAGUUAAAGGCUGUGGCUCAACCAUAGUUCGCUUUGGAAACUGUCAAACUUGAGUGCAGAAGGGGAGAGUGGAAUUCCAUGUGUAGCGGUGAAAUGCGUAGAUAUAUGGAGGAACACCGGUGGCGAAAGCGGCUCUCUGGUCUGUAACUGACGCUGAGGCUCGAAAGCGUGGGGAGCGAACAGGAUUAGAUACCCUGGUAGUCCACGCCGUAAACGAUGAGUGCUAGGUGUUGGAUCCUUUCCGGGAUUCAGUGCCGCAGCUAACGCAUUAAGCACUCCGCCUGGGGAGUACGACCGCAAGGUUGAAACUCAAAGGAAUUGACGGGGGCCCGCAC
rnacentral:rRNA from 1 species